UUGUUGAGCACAAGGCAGCCUUGACAGCAGGCAGAGCUGCUCAGUGGAUGAGCUGCUCAAUACUAACAACAUUGUGCGGCCAUGGGAGAGACUUGGCACCAGCAACAGCCAUCUCGCCAUCAAAAAGGCAAUCUUCGACAGACUGAUGUUGGUGAACAGACUGCAGGAGGAAGAAAGGAUCCUGGUGCAGGAGAUGAAGAGCCACUGGGAAGCCUACAAAGAGCAGCCGGGAACUCUGGAGGCACUGUCCCUACAGCUGCAAGAUCAGAGUAAUGCAGUGGAGGGAGGAAUGGCCUUCUCUGCCUUCUGAAGAGAAGAUUGAGUGAACUGACACAAGACCAAGGAAACACCAGGAACACCUACCAAAAGCUGGUCCUAUUGCUGAGAGCUCAGAUGACAACUGCUAUGCUUUCUGAAAUCAUUCACCACCCCUGCCUCUUUUUCACCUCCCUCGGGAGCAGCCUGGUCUCCUGACCUUGACCCCUGACCCCUCACCUUCUGAACCCAUCCAGAGAAAUAUAAUUUGCCUGAUGAGGCGCUAGUGGAGAAGCAAUGUCUUAUUUCACUGCAUUUGUUGCCAAGUUUCCUCUCCUCACCUCCUCUCCUCCCGUUUCUUCCGGUCGUAGACUAU